AUGCGAUAGUUACGAGGUUAAAGAUUGAUGUUGGGUCUCUGAUAAACGAAUCAAUUAAGAAGGCUAUCAACAGUAAGGUUAUGUCGGGACUCCCGCACCCUUCCCUGAUCACCCGACUCUGUAGGAAGGAGGGUGUGCAAUGGGAAAUCGAAGAUGUGACAUUGCCUCCUAUGUCUGUAAUUGACCAUCAAUUAAUUAGCCGUUACUCAGUUUGGGAGGGAGCUCCAUCGCAUCCCCGUGGUGAAGGAUUCUUUCCAGCACCGCCGUUACCGC
rnacentral:lncRNA from 1 species